rnacentral:snRNA from 1 species
CUGCACUAUGGAGAAGAUUAGCAUGGUUCCUGAGCAAGGAUGACACAAAAAUUUGUAAAGUGUUCCAUAUAAAA